GUAACAAGUAGGGCAGAUUAAGGGCAAAGAUGAGUCAUGAAAAAAAGAAUCUUGACAAAGGACUGAAUGGCCCAACUUAUUUCAGUCUGUAAGACAUCAAAUGGUUAUUAGUGAACUGAAGAGAACUGGAAGGAAGAAGUCCUGAUAUCUGUCUGGAGAAACUGAGUACAAUCACAAAGAAAAAUAAAACACAGUAGCCAAUUUCCAAAUCAGGAUUACAACCUGGGGCACACAGCAAGGGAAGCAGGAGUCAACAAAUGUAACCUUUUGUUAUGAAUCAAAGAACAACAUACGUCAGAUGAAGGUUUCACUGGGGAACAAUGGACUUACAUGUACAGUGAGUGCCACACAUCUGCAGUGAUGAAGAAGAGAAAACUGAAUC